GACGAACGCUGGCGGCGUGCCUAAUACAUGCAAGUGGGACGCAAGGGAACACACUGUGCUUGCACACCGUGUUUUCUUGAGUCGCGAACGGGUGAGUAACGCGUAGGUAACCUGCCUAUUAGCGGGGGAUAACUAUUGGAAACGAUAGCUAAUACCGCAUAAUAUUAAUUAUUGCAUGAUAAUUGAUUGAAAGAUGCAAGCGCAUCACUAGUAGAUGGACCUGCGUUGUAUUAGCUAGUUGGUAAGGUAAGAGCUUACCAAGGCGACGAUACAUAGCCGACCUGAGAGGGUGAUCGGCCACACUGGGACUGAGACACGGCCCAGACUCCUACGGGAGGCAGCAGUAGGGAAUCUUCGGCAAUGGACGAAAGUCUGACCGAGCAACGCCGCGUGAGUGAAGAAGGUUUUCGGAUCGUAAAGCUCUGUUGUAAGUCAAGAACGUGUGUGAGAGUGGAAAGUCACACAGGACG
rnacentral:rRNA from 1 species